rnacentral:rRNA from 1 species
AGUGAACGCUGGCGGUAGGCCUAACACAUGCAAGUCGAACGGCAGCACAGUAAGAGCUUGCUCUUACGGGUGGCGAGUGGCGGACGGGUGAGGAAUACAUCGGAAUCUACUUUUUCGUGGGGGAUAACGUAGGGAAACUUACGCUAAUACCGCAUACGACCUACGGGUGAAAGCAGGGGAUCUUCGGACCUUUCGCGAUUGAAUGAGACGAUGUCGGAUUAGCUAGUUGGCGGGGUAAAGGCCCACCAAGGCGACGAUCCGUAGCUGGUCUGAGAGGAUGAUCAGCCACACUGGAACUGAGACACGGUCCAGACUCCUACGGGAGGCAGCAGUAGGGAAUAUUGGACAAUGGGCGCAAGCCUGAUCCAGCCAUACCGCGUGGGUGAAGAAGGCCUUCGGGUUGUAAAGCCCUUUUGUUGGGAAAGAAAAGCAGCAGGUUAAUACCCCGCUGUUCUGACGGUACCCAAAGAAUAAGCACCGGCUAACUUCGUG